GAUGAACGCUGGCGGCGUGCCUAAUACAUGCAAGUCGAGCGAACAGACGAGGAGCUUGCUCCUCUGACGUUAGCGGCGGACGGGUGAGUAACACGUGGAUAACCUACCUAUAAGACUGGGAUAACUUCGGGAAACCGGAGCUAAUACCGGAUAAUAUAUUGAACCGCAUGGUUCAAUAGUGAAAGACGGUUUUGCUGUCACUUAUAGAUGGAUCCGCGCCGCAUUAGCUAGUUGGUAAGGUAACAGCUUACCAAGGCAACGAUGCGUAGCCGACCUGAGAGGGGGAUCGGCCACCCUGGAACUGAGACACGGUCCAGACUCCUACGGGAGGCAGCAGUAGGGAAUCUUCCGCAAUGGGCGAAAGCCUGACGGAGCAACGCCGCGUGAGUGAUGAAGGUCUUCGGAUCGUAAAACUCUGUUAUUAGGGAAGAACAAAUGUGUAAGUAACUAUGCACGUCUUGACGGUACCUAAUCAGAAAGCCACGGCUAACUACGUG
rnacentral:rRNA from 1 species